rnacentral:rRNA from 1 species
GACGAACGCUGGCGGCGUGCUUAACACAUGCAAGUCGAACGGAAAGGCCUGCUUUCCCUUGUGGAUUGCGGGUACUCGAGUGGCGAACGGGUGAGUAACACGUGAGUGAUCUGCCCCCAACUUGGGUAUAAGCCUGGGAAACCGGGUCUAAUUCCCGAUAGGACUGCAGGGUGGUGCCUGUGGUGGAAAACGAUUUUCUAGUGGUUGGGGAUGAGCUCGCGGCCUAUCAGCUUGUUGGUGGGGUAAUGGCCUACCAAGGCGGCGACGGGUAGCCGGCCUGGGAGGGUGGACGGCCACAUUGGGACUGAGAUACGGCCCAGACUCCUACGGGAGGCAGCAGUGGGGAAUAUUGCACAAUGGGCGGAAGCCUGAUGCAGCGACGCCGCGUGGGGGAUGACGGCCUUCGGGUUGUAAACUCCUUUCGACCGCGAGGAAGCCACCUGGUUGGAAGGGUGGUGACGGUAGUGGUAGAAGAAGCACCGGCUAACUACGUG